AUGAAAUUAGUUAAUUAAUAAUAUUUGUUUGUCAAACAAAAGUAAUCUUAUAGAUAUUUCUUA
rnacentral:tRNA from 1 species